CCCCAGCACAGCAAAGGCCUGGUCUGAGCAGUGCCCCAUGGCCGUAAGGGAAUCCUCUCCCUAGGCAGCUUCCUUCCAACGGGGGCUUGGGCUUGUUGCCUCUGAUCAGACCCCCACACUUUACAUUCAUGGCCCUAGCUCAGCAGGACGGGUUUGCAUGCUGUCUACCAGCCUACCCAAUGGUGGCACUUCUCUUCCUGGAUAUGGGGCCGCCUCCUCCAGGGGCCUGUAGCAGGGCAUCCCAGCCAGAUCCUAGCUGCGAUAGGGUCCUUGGUCAGCAGCAGUGCAGGGGACUCUGGGCAAGGCACUGGGCUAGAAGAGGUCCCACCUCAGAGCCUGCACCUGUCAACUACACCCAUCCUUAAAUUUGGCUCCUGUUACCAGUUAGAAGGGACUCCUGCCACCCGGAAGACACCACACAGCUUCCCUAGCUUCCCCCACCUGCAGUACCCUGUGCUGGUGCUUAGCUCAGUCCUCCAUCUGCCAGAGGCACAUGCUUUCAGGCCAGGGUGGGACUCUGAUCCCAGCCGGUCAUGCAGCAGCACAAUUGAUGCCAGGAACAAGGCAUCACCCUUUUCCAAGACUCUGAGCCUGGCUGGGCCCCACCAGCCCACCAGAAGGACAGAAACACACUUCAUUGUCAUAUGCAACUCUUCACAUUGUGAGUAAAUAUGCACAUGCACACACAUGCACACACACACAUACACAUCCUCCUCGUUUAAAAGUAUGACCUUCACAUUCAUUAAGGCUAUUUAAGGGGUGUAUUUUAAAUGAAAUGCUAUAUAAUAUUCAAAAUUACCAGAGUAAUGAGUUAACAGGAAAACUGUCUUUGCAGAAAAACUAUGACUGUGAUUUUCCAAAAUAGGAUUCGAUUGUUCAUAUGUAUUAACCAAAAAUAAAUUCUACUGCUUUGCAGUAGAAACUGCACAGCCAGUUUCCAAAAACAGAAAUGCAGGAGCCUGGCAUCCUGUCUGCACACACAGCAAGUUAGCUCAGAGACAGGCUGGACCCGCGCUUGGCUAACAGCACAACUGUUCACACUCAACACUGCAGGCCCCGUCCAGCCAACCCCACGCUGAUUUGCCUGUAGACAUCCUCUUGCUCGAAGCUGGUGGACAUUCUCCGGUAACACAGCACUUAAUUUAAUAAAGGAACUCACCAACUUCAAAUUGCAAUGAAUUUACCAAACAUGUUCACUGUUUAUGGAGAGGUUUACAGUAAGAAAGGGUCGACAGAAGCAGGCACAUCCGUGUACAGAAUGUUCUGUUGGGUGGAUUUUCACUUCUUCCAGCCCCACAUACCGGUUGCUCUCGUCCCUGUCCUCCCAGCUGAGGUCCUCUUGGGAAGUCAACCUUGCUGGCCGCUCUGUUCUUGCCCCCUCGACCAGGGACCUCCGAAUGCAGCCCCAGGGAACCAACAGACUCGCCAAGGUGAAGCGUGGUCGGAGCCCCGACCCAAAACAUGGGUUGUAAACUUUGAAUGGAAUCCGGACACCAACGACACAGAGGAGGAACGGCAGCGAGGGCGGCCUGGCGGCGCGCAACGCUUAGCAGGCCCGGCCCGACUCCCAGGGGCGCGCGGCCUCGCAGGG
ensembl:lncRNA